rnacentral:rRNA from 1 species
UACGAAGGGGGCUAGCGUUGCUCGGAAUCACUGGGCGUAAAGCGCACGUAGGCGGAUCUUUAAGUCAGGGGUGAAAUCCUGGAGCUCAACUCCAGAACUGCCUUUGAUACUGGGGAUCUCGAGUCCGGAAGAGGUGAGUGGAACUCCGAGUGUAGAGGUGAAAUUCGUAGAUAUCGGGAGGAACACCAGUGGCGAAGGCGGCGAUCUGGGAAGAUACUGACGCUGAGGUGCGAAAGCGUGGGGAGCAAACAGG